rnacentral:rRNA from 1 species
GAGAGCUUGCUCUCUGGGUGGCGAGUGGCGGACGGGUGAGGAAUACAUCGGAAUCUACCUAGUCGUGGGGGAUAACGUAGGGAAACUUACGCUAAUACCGCAUACGACCUUCGGGUGAAAGUGGGGGACCUUCGGGCCUCACGCGAUUAGAUGAGCCGAUGUCGGAUUAGCUAGUUGGAGGGGUAAUGGCCCACCAAGGCGACGAUCCGUAGCUGGUCUGAGAGGAUGAUCAGCCACACUGGGACUGAGACACGGCCCAGACUCCUACGGGAGGCAGCAGUGGGGAAUAUUGGACAAUGGGCGAAAGCCUGAUCCAGCCAUGCCGCGUGAAUGAUGAAGGCCUUAGGGUUGUAAAGUUCUUUCGUUGGUGAAGAUAAUGACGGUAACCAAAGAAGAAGCUCCGGCUAACUUCGUGCCAGCAGCCGCGGUAAUACGAAGGGGGCUAGCGUUGUUCGGAAUCACUGGGCGUAAAGCGCGCGUAGGCGGUCUAUCAAGUCAGAGGUGAAAUGCCGGGGCUCAACCCCGGAACUGCCUUUGAAACUGAUAGACUGGAAUCUUGGGGGGGGUAGUGGAAUUCCUAGUGUAGAGGUGAAAUUCGUAGAUACUAGGAGGAACACCGGUGGCGAAGGCGGCUACCUGGACAAGUAUUGACGCUGAGGCGCGAAAGCGUGGGGGAGCAAACAGGAUUAGAUACCCUGGUAGUCCACGCCGUAAACGAUGAGUGCUAGCCGUUGGGUUUUCGGACUCGGUGGCGCAGCUAACGCAUUAAGCACUCCGCCUGGGGAGUACGGUCGCAAGAUUAAAACUCAGAGGAAUUGACGGGGACCCGCACAAGCGGUGGAGCAUGUGGUUUAACUCGAGGCAACGCGAAAAACCUUACCA